CUACGGGUCGCUCCAGGCGAGAAAACUUUGCAAUGUGCGAAAGCACGACAAGGUUAAUCCGAGUGGUUUGUGCUAAACGAACCUUUUGACAGUCCUAGAAACACUGUUGAAUAAGGGGUGGGCAAGUUCUGGUGUCAGCCGCCGCGGUAAAACCAGCACCUCAAGUGGUCAGGAUGAUUAUUGGGCCUAAAGCAUCCGUAGCCGGCUCUGUAAGUUUUCGGUUAAAUCUGUACGCUAAACGUACAGGCUGCCGGGACUACUGGAGAGCUAGGGAGUGGGAGAGGUAGACGGUACUCGGUAGGAAGGGGUAAAAUCCUUUGAUCUAUUGAUGACCACCUGUGGCGAAGGCGGUCUACCAGAACACGUCCGACGGUGAGGGAUGAAAGCUGGGGGAGCAAACCGGAUUAGAUACCCGAGUAGUC
rnacentral:rRNA from 1 species